rnacentral:rRNA from 1 species
UAAGACGGAGGGUGCAAGCGUUGCUCGGAAUUAUUGGGCGUAAAGGGUGCGUAGGCGGUCUUUUAAGUCUGACGUGAAAGCCCAGGGCUCAGCCUUGGAAGUGCGCCAGAAACUGGAAGACUAGAGUGCCGGAGGGGAGAGUGGAAUUCCUGGUGUAGCGGUGAAAUGCGUAGAUAUCAGGAGGAAUACCGGUGGCGAAAGCGACUCUCUGGACGGCAACUGACGCUGAGGCACGAAAGCGUGGGGAGCAAACAGGAUUAGAUACCCUGGUAGUCCACGCUGUAAACGAUGGACACUAGGUGUCGAGGGUAUCCACUCCCUCGGUGCCGCCGCUAACGCAUUAAGUGUCCCGCCUGGGAAGUACGGCCGCAAGGUUA